CCCUUCCCCCAAACCUACAGGUUGCAUGACAAGCCAUGGGGACUCUUUGUCAAAAGCCAAAUCUGAGGCUUUACUUAGAAAAGCUGCAGGAAGAACUCGCUCGGUUCCAAGACAGGGCAAUUCUCUCUCUUAAAAGAAAUUUUAUUGCUGUUCUCAAGAACGAACUGGUUUCCAACCUAUUCACUUUCUGGAUGUAAGUUCACAAUGGUGAUUUUUUUCCCCCCUCCAACUCAGAGUAUUUUUCUUUUUUUCCUCUAAAUGAUAAUUACCUAGGAAAUAUCCUUUCUGG
ensembl:lncRNA